rnacentral:rRNA from 1 species
AACGCUGGCGGCGUGUCUUAGUCAUGCAAGUCGAACGAGAAAGCGUUCUUCGGAACGUGAGUACAGUGGCGGACGGGUGAGUAACACGUGGGGAACCUGCCCUCAAGCUGGGAACAACCCGCCUAACGGCGGGCUAAUACCGAAUGUGGUUGUCAAUCCGCAUGGUAUGACAACUAAAGGUGGCCUCUCCUUGGAAGCUACCGCUUGUGGAUGGCCCCGCGCUCAAUUAGCUAGUUGGUAGGGUAACGGCCUACCAAGGCGACGAUUGAUAGCCGACCUGAGAGGGUGAUCGGCCACACUGGGAUUGAGAUAAGGCCCAGUCUCCUACGGGAGCCAGCAGUCUAGAAAUUUGGGCAAUGGGCGAAAGCCUGACCCAGCGACGCCGCGUGGGGGAUGAAGCUUCUCGGAGUGUAAACCCCUGUUAGGUGGGACGAAAGCCCGUAUACGAAUAGUAGGCGGGUUUGACGGUACCACCAGAGGAAGCUCCGGCUAACUCCGUGCCAGCAGCCGCGGUAAUACGGGGGGAGCAAGCG